rnacentral:rRNA from 1 species
CGGACGGGUGAGUAAUGUCUGGGAAACUGCCUGAUGGAGGGGGAUAACUACUGGAAACGGUAGCUAAUACCGCAUAACGUCGCAAGACCAAGAGGGGGACCUUCGGGCCUCUUGCCAUCGGAUGUGCCCAGAUGGGAUUAGCUAGUAGGUGGGGUAACGGCUCACCUGGGCGACGAUCCCUAGCUGGUCUAAGAGGAUGACCAGCCACACUGGAACUGAGACACGGUCCAG